rnacentral:tRNA from 1 species
GAGGAUUUUGGCGUAGAGGGACGUGGGGGAUUUUACGAAUCCGCAGGUUGCCUGCGCGACGUGGUUCAAAACCACAUUUUCCA